rnacentral:rRNA from 1 species
AGAGUCUGUUCCUGGCUCAGAUUGAACGCUGGCGGCAGGCCUAACACAUGCAAGUCGAGCGGUAGAGAGAAGCUUGCUUCUCUUGAGAGCGGCGGACGGGUGAGUAAUGCCUAGGAAUCUGCCUGGUAGUGGGGGAUAACGUUCGGAAACGGACGCUAAUACCGCAUACGUCCUACGGGAGAAAGCAGGGGACCUUCGGGCCUUGCGCUAUCAGAUGAGCCUAGGUCGGAUUAGCUAGUUGGUGAGGUAAUGGCUCACCAAGGCGACGAUCCGUAACUGGUCUGAGAGGAUGAUCAGUCACACUGGAACUGAGACACGGUCCAGACUCCUACGGGAGGCAGCAGUGGGGAAUAUUGGACAAUGGGCGAAAGCCUGAUCCAGCCAUGCCGCGUGUGUGAAGAAGGUCUUCGGAUUGUAAAGCACUUUAAGUUGGGAGGAAGGGCAGUAAAUUAAUACUUUGCUGUUUUGACGUUACCGACAGAAUAAGCACCGGCUAACUCUGUGCCAGCAGCCGCGGUAAUACAGAGGGUGCAAGCGUUAAUCGGAAUUACUGGGCGUAAAGCGCGCGUAGGUGGUUUGUUAAGUUGGAUGUGAAAUCCCCGGGCUCAACCUGGGAACUGCAUUCAAAACUGACUGACUAGAGUAUGGUAGAGGGUGGUGGAAUUUCCUGUGUAGCGGUGAAAUGCGUAGAUAUAGGAAGGAACACCAGUGGCGAAGGCGACCACCUGGACUAAUACUGACACUGAGGUGCGAAAGCGUGGGGAGCAAACAGGAUUAGAUGCCCUGGUAGUCCACGCCGUAAACGAUGUCAACUAGCCGUUGGAAGCCUUGAGCUUUUAGUGGCGCAGCUAACGCAUUAAGUUGACCGCCUGGGGAGUACGGCCGCAAGGUUAAAACUCAAAUGAAUUGACGGGGGCCCGCACAGGCGGUGGAGCAUGUGGUUUAAUUCGAAGCAACGCGAAGAACCUUACCAGGCCUUGACAUCCAAUGAACUUUCUAGAGAUAGAUUGGUGCCUUCGGGAACAUUGAGACAGGUGCUGCAUGGCUGUCGUCAGCUCGUGUCGUGAGAUGUUGGGUUAAGUCCCGUAACGAGCGCAACCCUUGUCCUUAGUUACCAGCACGUAAUGGUGGGCACUCUAAGGAGACUGCCGGUGACAAACCGGAGGAAGGUGGGGAUGACGUCAAGUCAUCAUGGCCCUUACGGCCUGGGCUACACACGUGCUACAAUGGUCGGUACAGAGGGUUGCCAAGCCGCGAGGUGGAGCUAAUCCCAUAAAACCGAUCGUAGUCCGGAUCGCAGUCUGCAACUCGACUGCGUGAAGUCGGAAUCGCUAGUAAUCGCGAAUCAGAAUGUCGCGGUGAAUACGUUCCCGGGCCUUGUACUCACCGCCCGUC